rnacentral:ncRNA from 1 species
GAUUUAUACAGAAGUGGCGAGAGACUGGCUCUAUGACCCACUGGCAACCAACAACACGAAGUUGAAAAGGUGCCAAUUCCUGUCCAAGACGUUGUUUUGGAGUAUAUAAAUA